rnacentral:rRNA from 1 species
AUUGAACGCUGGCGGCGUGCCUAAUACAUGCAAGUCGAACGGAGUGGCGCUCGGGUGCGUAAUGUAUAGCUAAUCUGCCCUACACUAGAGGACAACAGUUGGAAACGACUGCUAAUACUCUAUAGUGUAGGAUGAGGCUAUAUUGUAUCAGCUAGUUGGUGAGGUAUUGGCGCACCAAGGCUAUGACGCAUAACUGGUCUGAGAGGAUGAUCAGUCACACUGGAACUGAGACACGGUCCAGACUCCUACGGGAGGCAGCAGUAGGGAAUAUUGCUCAGUGGGGGGAACGAUGAAGCAGCAACGCCGCUUGGAGGAUGACACUUUUCGGAGCGUAAACUCCUUUUGUUAGGGAAGCGGUACCUAACGAAUAAGCACCGGCUAACUCCGUGCCAGCCGCCGCGGUAAUUC